GUGCUCACUUCAGCAGCAUAUAUACUAGAAUUGGAACAAUAUAGAGAAGAUUAGCAUGUCCCCUACACAAGGAUGACAUGCAAAUCUGUGAAGUAUGACAUAGUACA